rnacentral:tRNA from 1 species
GCCAAUGUGGUGUAGUGGUUUGAGUGUUAAGACUAGGACACUAGAGACCAGGGUUCGAAUCCCAGCUUGGCCA